AGUAACACGUAGAUAACCUGCCCUUUAGUGGGGAAUAACAGCUCGAAAGAGUUGCUAAUACCGCAUACGCUCUCUAUCGAUAGGUAGAGAGGAAAGCUUUAGUGCUGAAGGAGGGGUCUGCGGCGGAUUAGCUAGUUGGUGGGGUAAAGGCCUACCAAGGCGACGAUCCGUAGCUGGUCUGAGAGGACGAUCAGCCACACUGGGACUGAGACACGGCCCAG
rnacentral:rRNA from 1 species